rnacentral:rRNA from 1 species
GACGGAGGGGGCUAGCGUUGUUCGGAAUUACUGGGCGUAAAGCGCGCGUAGGCGGCGCAUUAAGUCAGAGGUGAAAGCCCGGGGCUCAACCCCGGAAUUGCCUUUGAGACUGGUGUGCUUGAGUACGGAAGAGUGAGUGGAAUUCCCAGUGUAGAGGUGAAAUUCGUAGAUAUUGGGAAGAACACAGUGGCGAAAGGCGGCUCACUGGUCCGUAACUGACGCUGAGGUGCGAAAGCGUGGGGAGCAAACAGGAUUAGAUACCCGGGUAGUCC